UACGUAGGGGGCUAGCGUUGUCCGGAAUCAUUGGGCGUAAAGAGCGUGUAGGCGGUCCGGUAAGUCCGCUGUGAAAGUCGGGGGCUCAACCCUCGAAUGCCGGUGGAUACUGUCGGGCUAGAGUGCGGAAGAGGCGAGUGGAAUUCCUGGUGUAGCGGUGAAAUGCGCAGAUAUCAGGAGGAACACCGGUGGCGAAGGCGGAUCUCUGGGCCUUACCUGACGCUCGAGGUGCGAAAGCUAGGGGAGCGAACAGG
rnacentral:rRNA from 1 species